rnacentral:ncRNA from 1 species
AGUCUAACGUGAGCGCGAGUCACAGGGAAAAACACUCCCUUGGGGCGCAGCGAAAGCGAUGUGGUCCGAUCCUCUCUCGGGUGAGGGGGGCGCAGGACCGGCCCGUCGGGGGUUGUUACGGCCUCGGCGGAGCAAGAGCGCUCGCGUUGGGACCCGAAAGAUGGUGAACUAGGCCCGAGCGGGACGAAGCCGGGAGAAAUGCUGGUGGAGGUCCUAAGUGGUUCUGACGCGCAAAUCGAUCACGGAACUUGGGCGUAGGGGCGAAAGACUAAUCGAACCAUCUAGUAGCUGGUUCCCUCCGAAGUUUCCCCCAGGAUAGCUGGCGCUCGCCGAGACAGUUUCGUCCGGUAAAGCGAAUGAUUAGAGGAGUCCGUGCCGAAAUGGCGUGGAGCUAUUGUCAAACUUUGAACGGGCGAGAAGGGGUGCCUACCGCUCGAUCUGGGAGGCUCGGCCCCCGUCGAAAUGUACGAGUGCCAAGUGGGCCACUUUUGGUAAGCAGAACUGGCGCUGUGGGAUGAACCAAACGCCGGGUUAAGGCGCCCGAUCGUCACGCUCAGCAGAACCCACAAAAGGCGUCCAUCGGUAAAGACAGCAGGACGGUGACCAUGGAAGUCGGUAUCCGCCAAGGAGUGUGUAACAACUCACCUGCCGAAUUGGUGGGCCCUGAAAAUGGAUGGCGCUGUAGCGUGCAGCCUACACCCGGCCGUCUCGGCAAUUUUCUCCGGCCUGCCGGUAGAGACUGACCGAAGCCGAGACGAGUAGGAGGGUCGCCGCGGUCAGCGCUGAAGCACUUAGACGCGAGUCUGGGUGUAGCGGCCGCGGGUGCCGAUCUUGGUGGUAGUAGCAAAUAUUCGAGCGAGAACCUCGAAGGCCGAAGUGGAGAAGGGUUCCGCGUUGCUCACUUCGAUCGGCCGCGGGUUAGUCGGUCCUAAGGCACUGGGAGAAAUCCUACGGGAAGCGGGACGUUUUUGAAAAUCAUUAAAAAUCAGUCUCACCCAAUGCACGGGCCGAAAGGG